GGGGAGAGAGUCAUUUUCGGAGCAAACACAGAGAACCGUUCCCUAAGAAAGGGAAUGAAUGGUAGACAGGCAGAAAUCACACGUGCCCCCUGAGUGCAGCCAUGCCAGGCAUGCCCAGCAAGCGCUCCCAUGGAGAAAAACUAUUUCUACAGGUAACAGCCCUCCUCAGGGGUGUUGGGGCUCUGCUUUCCAAUCUCUUUCUUCCUUGGGAGCAAAAACUCUGUGGCUGCCAGGACCUGCCUCUCUGAAAACUCCCGUAAAGCUUCAAAGGGGCCUGGCCACCUCUCCAGCUUUGAUCUUAGGAGGAAACUUGCUCAGACACAUGAUCAAAAGGAAUGUGUACAAUUCCAGGUAUGCACAGGCACCUCCCUGGGCAGAAAGCAAGGAGCUUUCAUCACAGGCUGCAGGAGUCACCAUCUGAAGAGACUCAAUGUCCUUGAAAGCACUUUUCUUUUUAUUAUGUUUGAAAUUCAGCAACGAAAACUGCUCUUGUCUUGCUUCUACGGAAGCCGUAAGGACGAGAAAGUGGAGUGCUGUCGUGGAAACAGGCAGAAAUUUGGUGACACAAGAGCGAUCUCAGGACAGGGUGGAGCCAGGAAUCAGGACUGUGGUGCCCAGUCCCAGCUCAGCUAAGCCAAUGUGCGUCUUUGGGUCAUUUAGAUGAAGUACUGAGAGGUGCAGAUCUUCCUAUACCUGCUGGACUACAGAAAGGCAGGCAGCCACUGCCUAGAGAAGGGUGAGGACUGCAGAGACCAAACAGCUCCUCCCAUGUCCACAUCAGCCCUGUCUGAGCAGGUCCCAGAACGCGGCCUGCUUUGCCGCCUUCUCUGCCUGCAGCGCUCUGCCUGGGGCUCCAGUCCAGUGGCAUCUGUGUGGCUACAGCUCCCUGCCAAGUGUCAAAGGAGAGAGAGGCCAUGUAACCUCCCGCCUCACCACAGCCCUGGGAGCUGCCCUGUCAGUGUCAGCAUGUUCACAGUGCAAGUGCCAGCCCCACUGUCAGGAACCUCAGUCCCCGGCCAGGGACCUGCAACACAGCUGGCCAAAUAGCCGGACAAUGUGGCUUCCCACCACGCUGCAUCUGUCCCGGGGCCCGCCUGGUGUGCUGGUGCCCUGGCAGGUGUGAAGGCCCCUGCUGGCCUCACUCCUACCCAGCAGCCUGCACUGGAGGCCUCAGGGGCUGGAGGUGAUCACUUAGGGCCAGGCCUACUGUUCAGCCGCAUAGCACUGGGCUUGGAGGCCCAGGGAGGGCCUGCUUCUCUUUGCUGACACCUUCCACAAGGGGUGUGUGGAACUUGCAGAACUCCGUCUGUGACCUUGCCCACAGCAUUCCCGUCCUGCUGUGGCCCUACCUCAUUCCUUUCCAACUGAGAGCCUAGUCUCUCCUGGGGCAUCUUGGAAACAGAGCUCUCCCCUGAGCCUGCAUUCCCUGUCCCCGUCCCUGGACCUGCCUGCUGAGGGGCAAGGUGGGCUGGCAGGGGCGGUGCUGGAGCUGCAGGCCCGGGGACUCAGGCUCUUUCCAGGUCCCCUUGGACAGGCUGUUGAGGAGGAGAGCUAGCUCCUGCCAUCACAGCCCAGCCCUGGAGGGUCCAUCUGUUCUCCAGAGCUGGUCUUUGGGCCAGUCCAGGUGGUCACCUCCACAUACCACUUCCCAGGGUCUUUCUUGGUCUCCAUUCAAAGCAGAGUUCUUUACAGUCCUACAGAGAGGAUCCAACAUCUCAUAGGUGAGCUGUGCACUGCCCCUCUGCCUGAUGGGCCCAAUCCUGCUGAGAAAUGAGGCAAGGAGCCCAGGAAUAGCUGUUAACCACUGCCAACCACUGCUGACCACUGCUAACCACUGCUAAGCACUGCCAACAACUGCCAGCCACUGCUAACUACUGCUGACCACUACUGACCACUGCUGACUACUGCUAACCACUGCCCACCAUUGCCAACCACUGCUAACCACUGCCAACCACUGCUAACCACUGCCAACAACUGCCAACCACUGCCAACAACUGCCAACCACUGCUAAUUACUGCUAACCACUGCUGACCACUGCUGACCAUUGCUGACCACUGCUGACCAUUGCUGAACACUGCUAACCAUUGCCAACCACUGCUAACCACUACCAACAACUGUGAAUCAUUGCCAACCACUGCUUACCAUUUCUAACCACUGCCAACCAAUGCCAACUACUACCAACCACUGAUAACCACUGUUAAGCAUUGCUAACCCCUGCCAACCGCUGAUAACCACUGCUAGCCAUUGGCAACCACUUCUGACCAUUGCCAACCACUACUAACCACUGCCAACAACUGCCAACCACUGCCAACAACUGCAAAUAAUUACCAGCCACUGCAAAUAAUUGCCAACCACUGCUAACCGUUUCUAGCCACUGCCAACCAGUGCCAACCACUGCCAACUACUGUCAACUACUGAUAACCACUGUUAAGCAUUACUAACCACUGCUGACCACUGCCAACCAUUGAUGACUACUGCCAACCAUUGAUAACCACUACCAAUCAUUGCUAACCACUGCUAACCAUUGCUAACCACUGUCAACCACUACCAACCAUUGCCAGUCAUUGCCAACCACUGCUAGACACUGCUAAUUGACAACUGUUGCCAAUGACUGCCAACCACUGCCAACAAGCCAUUUUCCUUGAGCAGCCUCAAGCUCUGGGAAGAGAUGUGAGGUUUAGAGUCGGGGGAGAGUCCCCAUCAAGGAGCGACUCCCCCGCCCAGCACCGCCUCUGCUCUCAUCCUUAUCCUCCCUGCCUUUUCUACCCAGCCCUCCUUCUCCUGACUAGAAGCUCCUGGCACGCCUCAUCUCAAACCCUCAGGACUGUUCUGAACUAGGCAGAAGUUUAGUGCUACAGCUCAAAGCCUGGAGAGAACCCCAUAUCUGCAGAAGUGCCUCAUGUUGAGGACACCUGUCCCCAUCUCACCCAACCCUGGGUGAACCCGAGCAGGGUCAAAGAUGGCUACGUGAGCCCUGCCUCUGGAGCAGCCUAUUUGAACGGGACACUGGGGCCCCUGCUGUGGGCAUGGGAUAUCCUCUCUUAGGAGGCUUUUGGCCUGGUCCUCUCCAACCCCCUGGGCUUCCUGGCAGGGUCGGCCAUGUCUGGGUGGGGCUUAGCCCAGGAACACUCAGGACACACAGAGCCUCAGGAGGCACAUGCGGGGAAGAGGCCUCCAGCAGACUGUGGUGUCUGGAUAAAGACAGAUAAAGACACAAGGUCCAGACAGGCCAGAAUCGAGGUGAUAUAGUGUGGACUGUAAGAUCCUCUGACUCCAGUCAGCGUGGUUAACAAAAGCUGAAUUUUCUGCACAGUAACAGAUAGGAUGCCGCACGGGACCGCACUGACCUGGGUUUCCACCUUCCCCAAUUCUUAUCUCAGCAAGCCCAGCUAUUGCACACACCUGUAACAUUUAAAGGCUUUUUUGGAAUCUCAACUGGGAAAUGCAUGACCAUGUCCUCAAGAUAAGUAAAUACUGAGUUUCCAG